rnacentral:lncRNA from 1 species
AUAUUUUUGGAUGUGUGCAGAAGCGGUAAGGAGACAGAGAAAGGGGAUUUAAACCCGUGGAGACAGCGGCAGGAAAGAUUGGCAGAAACUCUCCCGCACAACCUGUUUCCUUGCAAAAGGAGGUGCUGGCUGCAGCACCCUUGUGUGGCUUGUGGGUGUGGUCAGGCCAGGUUGGGAUGUGGGGAUGGUGCCAGGGAGCUGACCCUGUUCCAGGAGCAGAGUCCAUGCCCCUUCCUCCCGAGCCCUCGAAAGCUGGGACUGCAGCACUGCUCACAGGAAACCCUCCUCCUCCACUCUGUGGCAGUUAUACACAACACAGACCAUUUCCAGGUGUUUUGUGGUUACCCAAAGCUGCUUCCCCUGUUCCACCUGAGGAAUAUCCAAUCUUCUGAUUGCUUGUUUUCUGUGCUUAUGGUACUUACGGUGUUACAUAUCUUGGAGUUUAUGAGGAAAUCAAGCAGCGCUUGCUCAGCACCUGAUAGUGCAGAUGCUAAGCUGCAGUCAUCAUUUCUGCCAUCCACUUUGUGCUCACCGUGAAACUUGGAGGAAAAUGUAAGUGCUUCUAUUUUCACAGGCGAAGAGAUACAUGUUCAGGAGAAGGUGAGUCCCAUUGUCAGUAAAUACAGUAUCAGAACUUGGAUCCAGACUUUUUUGACCACACAAUUGUGAUCCUUUCUUUGGAGGUGCUGGGCCGAGGUCUGCCUGCUUUGACAGAUAUGUUGCGAAUAAGAAAUAUUGUAGAAAGCCACCAAGAUCUGGUCUUCAGCACAGAAUAGUCCCCAUUUUUGGAGAUUCACAACACAUAUCGGAGUGAUACAUUUGGUGGGGAAGCCAGACCAUCAAACCUCCACUCACCUCACACCUCAUUCUCCCUUUGUUCUCUUCCUCGGAACAUUCUGGAUGGACAAAGAGACCCAGGAAAAAAAUGCCUCCUAGUGAGAAAAGAAUGCCUCUUAACUGAAUUUGCAAAAACCAAAACCUGACAGAAAUUGCUUUGAAAGCAUGGGGGACUAAGGACCUUAACGUUUCAAGUGGAAAUUAAUUAUGGAGGUCCUGGUAUUAUUAAUCUGAGUAAUACAAAACACAUCAAGUAGAAAGUAUACAUUUACUGUGUUGUCUUUAACUUUAUUUUAAUGUAAAAGUUUACAUAAGGGGUUUUACAGGUGGACUUGGGAUUUCAGUUGUCCAACACUUUGCUUUUUCCAUAAAGGCUCAAUCAGACUUUCCAAUUACAGGCAUUUUCGUUAUCAUUAUUCUUGAAAUACAGGGAUUACUACUGUUAUGUAUCUGCUUCUUUAGGUGUUUCCUUGGCAGAAGGACCCCAUAAACAGUGGAGCAGAGGAGACCCCUGUGUUCCUGACUGGCAUGGGAAUCCAGCUACAUGGCGCUGAUGCCCACUCCUGUCAAGAUGCAACCCCUCUGCCCUUUGCAACCUUGCCCAGAGCCAAGUGUGGGAUCUGUCAACAUAUGGCUCAGUUGGACUCAAGUUUCCUUUUUUAACACUGGAAGCAAUUUUAAUGAAUAAUACUGGGGACAAGAUGGAAAGGAAGGGAUGUUUGAAUUAACUAGGGAAUAAAAUAUAAAGUGUAUCUUGCCCUCCUGAUAGCAAUGUACAGUUCUUCUCAUUGAAAUUGAAACAAGAAAAUGCCAAAAU